UAACCUGCCCAAGAGAUCGGGAUAACACCUGGAAACAGAUGCUAAUACCGGAUAACAACAGAUGAUGCCUAUCAACUGUUUAAAAGAUGGUUCUGCUAUCACUCUUGGAUGGACCUGCGGUGCAUUAGCUAGUUGGUAGGGUAACGGCCUACCAAGGCGAUGAUGCAUAGCCGAGUUGAGAGACUGAUCGGCCACAUUGGGACUGAGACACGGCCCAAACUCCACGGGAGGCAGCAGCU
rnacentral:rRNA from 1 species